rnacentral:rRNA from 1 species
AGUGAACGCUGGCGGUAGGCCUAACACAUGCAAGUCGAACGGCAGCACAGUAAGAGCUUGCCCUUACGGGUGGCGAGUGGCGGACGGGUGAGGAAUACAUCGGAAUCUACUUUUUCGUGGGGGAUAACGUAGGGAAACUUACGCUAAUACCGCAUACGACCUACGGGUGAAAGCAGGGGAUCUUCGGACCUUGCGCGAUUGAAUGAGCCGAUGUCGGAUUAGCUAGUUGGCGGGGUAAAGGCCCACCAAGGCGACGAUCCGUAGCUGGUCUGAGAGGAUGAUCAGCCACACUGGAACUGAGACACGGUCCAGACUCCUACGGGAGGCAGCAGUGGGGAAUAUUGGACAAAGGGCGCAAGCCUGAUCCAGCCAUACCGCGUGGGUGAAGAGGGCCUUCGGGUUGUAAAGCCCUUUUGUUGGGAAAGAAAAGCAGCAGGUUAAUACCCCGCUGUUCUGACGGUACCCAAAGAAUAAGCACCGGCUAACUUCGUG